UCGUUCUAUCUCGUUUCUAGAUCGAAAUUGAUUCCGUUUGAUCCCGGAGAUUCUAGACUCGUAUAUCUACGUUUCCCUAUCUCGGUUUUGCAAAACGACCCGUCGACUGUUCGUACUUCAGAGGCGAACCAGAGUUAGAUUGCUUGUCAGGAUCACGUGGAUUUAGCAAGCAGUUUAUGAUUUGAGCUUUGGUCGAUCUCCGUUUCUUCAUUCUCGGGGGUUUUUAUUUUAUUUUCAGAAUAAAAGAGUCGAACUGUUUUAAACUCUUAGACCGCAGUAGUAGUAUCAGUUAUUCAUGUCUUAGUCUUUAUUUCAUAUUUUAGACUAUUGUUUGUUGGAUUGGUCCAACUAUUAUUUUAUCAGCUUUGGCAUGAUUACAGUGUUUAUGGAAUUAUAUAUAUAUUACCAUGCUGAUAGACAUUAUUUUCAGAUAAGUAUACUUUGAAUAUAUGUUGCUUAUUGUACUGCUAGACUAGGCUGAAGUCUCGGUUGCCCCCGAGCAUGUGGUUUUCUGCAGGUACAUUGUUUUAAAUGAUAUAAGUUGGUUAUCCGCAAGGCUAGCUACGGGUUUUGGUACAACCAUACCCAUACCCUAGCGCCGGUCACGAUUCAUGAAAAUGGGUCGUGACAAACUUGGUAUCAGAGCUUUGGUUUCAAACCAAGGCCUUUUAAAUGUUAAGUGUUUAUUGUUUGGCAUGUUAAGUGGUUAAUUUACCCUAGGAACUACUGCGGAAUUAGGAUUCGAGUCUUGUCUU